rnacentral:rRNA from 1 species
AGAGUUUGAUCAUGGCUCAGGAUAAACGCUGGCGGCGUGCCUAACACAUGCAAGUCGAACGAUCCCGCAAGGGAGAGUGGCGGAAGGGUGAGUAACACGUGGGAAUCUACCUCCUCGCAGGGAACAACCUCUCGAAAGAGAGGCUAAUACCCAAAAGGGUCAGAAAUGAUCAGAGUCGAAAGGCGUGAGGAGAGGAGCCCGCGGCCCAUCAGCUAGUUGGUGAGGUAAUGGCUUACCAAGGCUACGACGGGUAGGGGGUCUGAGAGGAUGUCCCCCACACUGGAACUGAAACACGGUCCAGACGCCUACGGGUGGCAGCAGUGAGGAAUAUUGGACAAUGGGCGAAAGCCCGAUCCAGCAACGCCGCGUGGAGGAUGAAGGCCUUCGGGUCGUAAACUUCUUUAGAGGGAGACGAGAAAGGACGGUAUCCCUAGAAUAAGCGACGGCAAACUACGUG